AAAUCUAUGGCUUUUUUAUACACCAACAAUGAACUCACAGAAAGAAAACAAAAAAAAACAAUCCCAUUUACCAUUGCAACAAAAACAUUAGAUACCUAGGAAUGAAUUUACUAAGGAGGUAAAAGACCUGUACUCAGUAAACUACAGGAAGUUGA